GCGCAGCAGUCGAGAAUUUUUGACAAUGGGGGAAACCCUGAUCGAGCGACGCCGCGUGGAGGAUGAAGGUCUUCGGAUUGUAAACUCCUGUCAUUGGGGAACAAGGUGCAUACGUUAACUGCGUGUGUAUUGAUAGUACCCGAAGAGGAAGGGACGGCUAACUCUGUGCCAGCAGCCGCGGUAAUACAGAGGUCCCAAGCGUUGUUCGGAUUCAUUGGGCGUAAAGGGUGCGUAGGCGGCGCGGUAAGUCGGGUGUGAAAUCUCGGAGCUUAACUCCGAAACUGCAUUCGAUACUGCCGUGCUUGAGGACUGGAGAGGAGACUGGAAUUUACGGUGUAGCGGUGAAAUGCGUAGAUAUCGUAAGGAAGACCAGUGGCGAAGGCGGGUCUCUGGACAGUUCCUGACGCUGAGGCACGAAGGCCAGGGGAGCAAACGGGAUUAGAUACCCCCGUAGU
rnacentral:rRNA from 1 species